GUAAUAUCCCAUAGUACAUACAUGUUAUUAAAACUUGAACUAAUGCACUGUGAGUCUUAUAAAUUGCUUACAUACCUCACCGAUUUCUGCAUGUCUGGAAAACGCUCGGUUUAGUUCCUGUCUCCGCCUCCCAAAAUGUCUAGUGUAUUCGGAUUGGUCAGAUGACUACUCAACUGUUAUUGGUCAACUGGGUUCGGCGUGUGUUUGAAAGGUUACGCCCCUGACUACGCGUGGAUUUUCCGGUUCUGACUGAGAGUCACAGGCAACGUAAACAAGCGCUAUAUUUCUCUAUAAACGAUGGUGUCUGUACUGCCUUACCACUUCAAGCUCGAUCCAGAGAGUUCAGACGGCCGUUACGAUGUAAACGAUCUCUGUCAAUGAACGCGAUUGGAUUUAACUUUUUUAGGUGUCCUUAGCUCUGCCAGAAUGCUAAACGAAGACGAAAAUGUGUUGCAAAGACAUCCAAAAGGUUUUAAGGAGAAUGCAACAGGUUCCAGGGCCUCUUACCUGCGUGAUUCAUCAUCCAGGUUUUGCACAAAUUGUCUAAAUCCCUACACACAGAACAUUUAUUGUACCGACUAUAAGCCUUUGAGGUGCAGGACUAGAAUACGCUUGGAGCUUCCUGAUCAGAUCAGUCACAAUUUUGGCUUUCGACGACCCCUGCACUGAAGAUGGCAUGCAAUCACGUCCUCCUUUGAAGGUCUCUCAAACUGUGAUGCCAGGUCCAUUGGAAUCGGGGUUUCUUUCAGCUUAUCUUCAAAUACCUCAUCAAACACAAGCCUGAUCACAUCCUCCACAUAACUGUACAAAUAUUGC